UACAGAGGGGGCAAGCGUUGUUCGGAAUUACUGGGCGUAAAGGGCGCGUAGGCGGCGCGGGUAGUCAUCGGUGAAAGUUCAGGGCUCAACUCUGAAUCGGCCGGUGAUACUCCCGUGCUCGAGCACUGUAGAGGCAGGUGGAAUUCCGGGUGUAGCGGUGGAAUGCGUAGAGAUCCGGAAGAACACCGGUGGCGAAGGCGGCCUGCUGGGCAGUAGCUGACGCUGAUGCGCGACAGCGUGGGGAGCAAACAGG
rnacentral:rRNA from 1 species